GGGCCUCCAUCAAGGAAGCUUGUCUGUAGCCCAAUAUGCGGCUGGAUUUGUUCUACUGUUUAGGUUUGUCCCUUUGAUGGUCACCCCCGAAAGCCGAAACAUUAGGAAGUUUCUCAAAAGCCUUCAUGCUGACAAUUAUGACCAGGUUGCAAUGCUGAGACACAUUUCAUAUGUAGAGGUGUUGGAACAUGCCCAGAUGACCAAAGAUCUUAUUUGGGUAAGCACCAAUGCUUUGCCAGAGUUC
rnacentral:lncRNA from 1 species